GACGAGGCACUACGGUGCUGAAGCAACAAAUGCCCUGCUUCCAGGAAAAGCCUCUAAGCAUCAGGUAACAUCAAAUCGUACCCCAAACCGACACAGGUGGUCAGGUAGAGAAUACCAAGGCGCUUGAGAGAACUCGGGUGAAGGAACUAGGCAAAAUGGUGCCGUAACUUCGGGAGAAGGCACGCUGACACGUAGGUGAAGUGAUUUACUCAUGGAGCUGAAGUCAGUCGAAGAUACCAGCUGGCUGCAACUGUUUAUUAAAAACACAGCACUGUGCAAACACGAAAGUGGACGUAUACGGUGUGACGCCUGCCCGGUGCCGGAAGGUUAAUUGAUGGGGUCAGCGCAAGCGAAGCUCCUGAUCGAAGCCCCGGUAAACGGCGGCCGUAACUAUAACGGUCCUAAGGUAGCGAAAUUCCUUGUCGGGUAAGUUCCGACCUGCACGAAUGGCGUAAUGAUGGCCAGGCUGUCUCCACCCGAGACUCAGUGAAAUUGAACUCGCUGUGAAGAUGCAGUGUACCCGCGGCAAGACGGAAAGACCCCGUGAACCUUUACUAUAGCUUGACACUGAACAUUGAGCCUUGAUGUGUAGGAUAGGUGGGAGGCUUUGAAGCGUGGACGCCAGUCUGCGUGGAGCCGACCUUGAAAUACCACCCUUUAAUGUUUGAUGUUCUAACGUGGACCCGUGAUCCGGGUUGCGGACAGUGUCUGGUGGGUAGUUUGACUGGGGCGGUCUCCUCCUAAAGAGUAACGGAGGAGCACGAAGGUUGGCUAAUCCUGGUCGGACAUCAGGAGGUUAGUGCAAUGGCAUAAGCCAGCUUGACUGCGAGCGUGACGGCGCGAGCAGGUGCGAAAGCAGGUCAUAGUGAUCCGGUGGUUCUGAAUGGAAGGGCCAUCGCUCAACGGAUAAAAGGUACUCCGGGGAUAACAGGCUGAUACCGCCCAAGAGUUCAUAUCGACGGCGGUGUUUGGCACCUCGAUGUCGGCUCAUCACAUCCUGGGGCUGAAGUAGGUCCCAAGGGUAUGGCUGUUCGCCAUUUAAAGUGGUACGCGAGCUGGGUUUAGAACGUCGUGAGACAGUUCGGUCCCUAUCUGCCGUGGGCGCUGGAGAACUGAGGGGGGCUGCUCCUAGUACGAGAGGACCGGAGUGGACGCAUCACUGGUGUUCGGGUUGUCAUGCCAAUGGCACUGCCCGGUAGCUAAAUGCGGAAGAGAUAAGUGCUGAAAGCAUCUAAGCACGAAACUUGCCCCGAGAUGAGUUCUCCCUGAGACUUAGAGUCUCCUGAAGGAACGUUGAAGACGACGACGUUGAUAGGCCGGGUGUGUAAGCGCAGCGAUGCGUUGAGCUAACCGGUACUAAUGAACCGUGAGGCUUAACCUU
rnacentral:rRNA from 1 species